CCUACGGGCGGCUGCAGUGGGGAAUAUUGGACAAUGGGGGGAACCCUGAUCCAGCCAUGCCGCGUGUGUGAAGAAGGCCCUCGGGUUGUAAAGCACUUUCAGUGAGGAAGAACGCCUGGUGGUUAAUACCCAUCAGGAAAGACAUCACUCACAGAAGAAGCACCGGCUAACUCCGUGCCAGCAGCCGCGGUAGUACGGAGGGUGCGAGCGUUAAUCGGAAUUACUGGGCGUAAAGCGCGCGUAGGUGGCUUGAUAAGCCGGUUGUGAAAGCCCCGGGCUCAACCUGGGAACGGCAUCCGGAACUGUCAAGCUAGAGUGCAGGAGAGGAAGGUAGAAUUCCCGGUGUAGCGGUGAAAUGCGUAGAGAUCGGGAGGAAUACCAGUGGCGAAGGCGGCCUUCUGGACUGACACUGACACUGAGGUGCGAAAGCGUGGGUAGCAAACAGGAUUAGAUACCCUAGUAGUC
rnacentral:rRNA from 1 species